rnacentral:rRNA from 1 species
GACAGAGGAGCCAAGCGUUGUCCGGAUUGACUGGGCGUAAAGCGUACGCAGGCGGCUGGGCGCGUGGGGUGUGAAAGCCGGCGGCUUAACUGCCGGAGGCCACCUCAUACGGCCGAGCUCGAGCCCGGGAGAGGUCCGUGGAAUUGCCGGUGUAGUGGUGAAAUGCGUAGAGAUCGGCAGGAACACCAAGGGGGAAACCAGCGGACUGGCCCGGUGCUGACGCUCAGGUACGAAAGCGUGGGGAGCGAACUGG